GACGAACGCUGGCGGCGUGCUUAACACAUGCAAGUCGAGCGGUAAGGCCUUUCGGGGUACACGAGCGGCGAACGGGUGAGUAACACGUGGGCGACCUGCCCUGCACUUCGGGAUAAGCCUGGGAAACUGGGUCUAAUACCGGAUGGGACCAUUCCAUGCAUGUGGGGUGGUGGAAAGUCGGUGCUGUUGUGGUGUCGGCGGUGGGGGAUGGG
rnacentral:rRNA from 1 species